UGAGGAACAUGACUUUCGGCGGGGGAUAGCCGGCUCAACGGCCGGGUAAUACCGCGUACGACCUUUUGGGGACAUCCCCGAUUGGUGAAAGCAGCAAUGCGCCGAAAGAGUGCCUCGG
rnacentral:rRNA from 1 species